rnacentral:rRNA from 1 species
GUUUAUAUAAUUAUUGAAUUUUAAAAUUUAUUUGAAUUUAAAAUAAGUAAAUUAUUUUUUAAUAAGAAGUUAGAACAAAUUUUUUUUUGUUAUAGUUUAUUAGUAUUGUGAAAGAAGUUAAAUUAAAUUUUUAAAAGAAGAAUUAAUUUUUUGUACCUUGUGUAUCAGGGUUUAUUAAAAAUAUAUUAUGAAUUUAGUCUUCCCGAAUUUAGAUUAGUUAUUCAUAAUAUAAAUUUUAUUGUAAAAUAAAUAUUUAUAAUAUAUGGUUAGGAGUGAAAUGUUAUUCGUUUCUGAAAAUAUCUGGUUUUUUAAGAAAUAAAUUUAAUUUAAUCUGUUUUUAUUAAUUUUCUAUUUUUUAGUUAGUUAAUUAGACAGGAAAAUAUUCUAAGGGAUGAGCUUUGGAAUUAAAUUUUUAUAAAAUUUAUUAUUUAUUAAAGAAAAAUAGGAUUAGAAGUUUUUAUUUUUAUAAUAGUGUUGUAACUAAUUUUUUUGUUAUAUUAUUUAUAUUUAUUUUAAAUGAUUUAUUAAAAUUUAUUUCCUAAUAUUUUGGGUUUAGCAAAAAUGAUAAAAUUAGUAUAGAUUUUUAUAUAAUUAAAUUUUAAUUUUAAGUUUAUUUUAAGGAAUUCGGCAAAUAAUUUUUUACCUGUUUAUUAAAAACAUGGCCUUUUGAUAUUAAUUUAAGGUCUAGCCUGCCCACUGAAGUUUUAAAUGGCCGCGGUAUACUGACCGUGCAAAGGUAGCAUAAUCAUUAGUUUUUUAAUUGAAAGCUGGAAUGAAUGGUUGGAUAAGAAAAUAACUGUCUCUAUUUAAUUAUUUAGAAUUUUAUUUUUAAGUUAAAAAGCUUAAAUUAUAUUAAAAGACGAGAAGACCCUAUAGAAUUUUAUAAUUUUGAAUAAUUAAAAUUUUUGAAUUAUUACUUUUUUUAUAUUUAAUUUUAUUUUGUUGGGGGGAUAGAAAAAUUUAAUUAACUUUUUUUUUUUAAUAUCAUAAAUUUAUGAAUAAUUGAUCCAUUAAUUGUGAUUAUAAGAUAAAAUUACCUUAGGGAUAACAGCGUAAUUUUUCUAAAGAGUUCUAAUCGAAAGAAAAGUUUGCGACCUCGAUGUUGGAUUAAAAUUUAUUUUUGGUGUAGAAGCUAAAAAAUUUAGGUCUGUUCGACCUUUAAAAUUUUACAUGAUCUGAGUUUAAACCGGUGUGAGCCAGGUUGGUUUCUAUCUUUAAUAAAAUCUAAUAUUUUAGUACGAAAGGACCAAGUAUUAAAUAAUUUAUUUAUUUUUUGAAUAUUAUUAU